CCGAAAGAAGCUGGAGGCAAGCCCUUGAGCUGAUGAACAAGAACCUCAUCAGGCAUAUGACGGUGGAUAAGUCUGCAAGGCAAGACGAAGUCCAAUAACUGCACGGAACCGUCGGUGUAAAUGAGGCAGCUAUAUGAGGGGAAAGAGCG
rnacentral:ncRNA from 1 species